CCUCCAGCCAACAUAAAUCCCUUCCUCUAAUCCCUUCUACACGUUUCCUUUAUUCAUCAAAACCUCCACCCCUAAAAUAUCUCCAACAACCAAAUAAAUCAAUAUCCAUCAGUUUAAUAUCUCACAUUCACGUCUUCCACAUCCAAGAAAAAUCUGUGAAAAAAACUUACUGCAGUUUUCUCCUUUUCUGUUAAGUGUAAAGGAGAAACUGGGAGAGCUGUUUUUACCUUCUAUUGUGCAAACUUUUUCUUCUUCCCAAAGGGUGAACUUGUGCACGUUGUUGCGGUUGGAACAGGAAGUGUUUGGGGUGUUAAGCUGUUGAG